rnacentral:rRNA from 1 species
UAGCAUAUCAAUAAGCGGAGGAAAAGAAACCAACAGGGAUUGCCUCAGUAACGGCGAGUGAAGCGGCAAAAGCUCAAAUUUGAAAUCUGGCUCCUUUGGGGCCCGAGUUGUAAUUUGCAGAGGAUGCUUCGGGCGUGGCCGCGGUCUAAGUCCCCUGGAACGGGGCGUCGCAGAGGGUGAGAAUCCCGUCUUCGGCCGGCCGGCUUCGCCCAUGUGAAGCUCCUUCGACGAGUCGAGUUGUUUGGGAAUGCAGCUCUAAAUGGGUGGUAAAUUUCAUCUAAAGCUAAAUAUUGGUCGGAGACCGAUAGCGCACAAGUAGAGUGAUCGAAAGAUGAAAAGCACUUUGAAAAGAGAGUUAAACAGCAUGUGAAAUUGUUGAAAGGGAAGCGCUUGCGACCAGAGUCGGCCGUGGGGGUUCAGCGGGCAUUCGUUGCCCGUGCACUCCCCCACGGGCGGGCCAGCGUCGGUUUCGACGGCCGGUCAAAGGCCCCCGGAAUGUGUCGCCUCUCGGGGCGUCUUAUAGCCGGGGGUGCAAUGCGGCCAGUCGGGACCGAGGAACGCGCUUCGGCACGGACGCUGGCUUAAUGGUCGUAAGCGACCCGUCUUGAAACACGGACCAAGGAGUCUAACAUCCACGCGAGUGUUCGGGUGUCAAACCCGUCCGCGCAGUGAAAGCGAACGGAGGUGGGAACCCUUAAGGGUGCACCAUCGACCGAUCCUGAAGUCUUCGGAUGGAUUUGAGUAAGAGCGUGGCUGUUGGGACCCGAAAGAUGGUGAACUAUGCCUGAAUAGGGUGAAGCCAGAGGAAACUCUGGUGGAGGCUCGCAGCGGUUCUGACGUGCAAAUCGAUCGUCGAAUUUGGGCAUAGGGGCGAAAGACUAAUCGAACCAUCUAGUAGCUGGUUCCUGCC